CACGUAGGGUGCGAGCGUUGUCCGGAAUUAUUGGGCGUAAAGAGCUCGUAGGCGGCCUGUCGCGUCGACCGUGAAAACCCGCAGCUCAACUGCGGGCUUGCGGUCGAUACGGGCAGGCUGGAGUUCGGUAGGGGAGACUGGAAUUCCUGGUGUAGCGGUGAAAUGCGCAGAUAUCAGGAGGAACACCGGUGGCGAAGGCGGGUCUCUGGGCCGAUACUGACGCUGAGGAGCGGAAGCGUGGGGAGCGAACAGG
rnacentral:rRNA from 1 species